CAGUAAGUAUUUUUAUUAAAAUUUUAGUUUUGGGAACUAAAGAUGAGUAUUUUCUUUACUGA
rnacentral:tRNA from 1 species